UGAUUAGGCAUCACUGGUAAUUUUAUCCACAUAAGUUUGUUGUAUAUGAGAGUUUCUUUUAUGUGUAAAAGCUUGCAGAAAAAGGUUUCUUAAAAACUAUUAAAAUGGCCAGUAAUUUUAAUGAGGAAGGUCCAACACGUAAAAAUGAGGAAUAUGAAGGUCCUCGAAUUAAUGGAGUUGCUCAGAAGUUUCUUGCGGACCUGAACGAAGAACGAGAACGCUUAGGUAGCGAAUUUCCUUUAUGUGUUCAGGUCAUUGACGAAGCAAUUGAACGAGUGUACACAACUGGUCGAAUUCCAGGCACUGAAUACUUGGCUGAUGUGUAUAAACAAAAACCAAUGAAGAUUACUCAAAAAGUGUUCGUUCCUGUUAAGCAAUAUCCCAAGUUCAACUUUACAGGAAAAUUAUUGGGGCCGAAGGGUAAUUCAUUAAGACGUUUACAUGAAGAGACGCAGUGUAAAAUUAUUAUAAAAGGCCGUGGUUCAAUGCGGGACCGUAAUAAGGAAGAAGAACUAAGACAAUCAGGUGAUCCUCAACAUGCGCACCUAAAUAGAGAUCUCUUCAUAGAAAUAAGCACUGUAGCAACUCCUGCUGAGGCACAUGCACGAAUUGCUUACGCUUUAGCAGAAAUACGUAAAUAUCUUGUACCAGAUAAAAACGAUGAAGUUUCACAAGAACAACUGCGGGAACUUAUGGAAAUAGAUCCAAAAUCUGCUGAAACAUAUUCAAAGACGGUGCUUAAUAAGUUCUCGACUGGUGAAGGUGCAUCUAAAUUUUUAAAUCUAAUUAAGCAUCACGGCGCUUCCCCAGAGAGUUUAGAGGAACAGUAUGAAGAAAUAAUUGAAUAUCAACCUCGAAUCCCAAAGCGUACUAUUCCAACUCCAUAUAUAAAAGUCCAUAUUGGUAAACGUUGCAAGUUGGAUUUAAUAUGAAAGUAUAUAAUGAAAAAAUAUAGUAAUAGUAGCGUGUUGUGGCACAGGAAGUUCCUAAACCACCUAUUAGAACGAAGGAAUACAUCUUAAAUUUUCAACAAGUUUUACGAAUGUAAUCGCCCUUUUCAACGUCAUCGAUGAACAAAACUCGGACAAAUAAAAUUUUGAGAUACAACUCAACGAGAUAAUGGAACAUUACAAUAAAAAACAUAAAAACUUUAUUCGAUUUUCGAUGGUAAAAAUUGGAAGCAUCAGUACACCCCGACGAUGUUAUAUAUCAUAAUUUGAAUGCACCUCUCAGCUGAGUCCCAGUUGAAUAGAGUCAACAAUUUGGAUCUUAUCCGAAUGAAGAUAGAGAACUAACUUGGAUAAAUAAUCAACAUGGCAAAUGUUAAACAAGAUCUGGUCAUCUGUUACAAAUGCUUGAAGAGCAUAUAACCAAAAAAUAUAUGUGUUAACAUAUCGAACUUGGACCUGCGUAGUUCUUGUCAAGUGUCCUGUGAAUCAAAAAUAUGAUGUUGAUAAAUAUGAAUAAAUCAUAUCUCAAUUUGUGUUAAAAAUCGUAUUUAUUCGAUUAUUCUAACAAAUGUAUUCGCGAAGACAUAUAAGUGUGUCGCUAAGCAAUUAUAUACUGCGGAUUCGGUCAAGUGGGCCAUGGCCUCGUUUGAGAAAUUCAAGUCUCCGGGUGUGGAUGGAUAUCGAAGGUGCUUUUGACAACACAUCUCACAUGAGUGUAGCCGGGGCACUGGAAGAAAGUAAUGUGGCAGCACCGGUGCGUAGAUUGAUAGAGGCCGUACUGCGUACCAGAAUUGCUGAAACCACAGUAGGAGAUACAAGGCUUCGUCUUGGCAGAACAAGAGGCUGCCCACAGGGGGGUGUGCUAUCACUGUCUGCAUGUCGGGCGCAAUGCGCACUUGUCCAACGGCAGCAUUGGGUGUCCUGCACACACUUCUGGGUGUGGCAAAGGCAAGGUAAUCUCGUCCAACAGCAGCUUUGGAUGUCCUGCUUGAACCUACACCGCUUCAUUUAGUGAUCGGUCAAGUAGCCAAGCACACACUUCUGCGUGUGGCAAAGGCAAGGUAAUCUCGUUCCAAAGGAUGGAAGUGAUAAGUGACAAUAUACUAUUAGCCCUCCUCCAGAAGGAUAGCAUUACUAAAACUGUUAACUUCACGAAGAAGUUUAAGGUUACCCUCGGCAGCAAGGGUGGCUCGAAAACGUCGGAGGGAAUCGCUGCAGGGAUCGAGGGUUCACGCACCUAGCUCUCCAUACCUAUGGGAAGUUUAACGAGCAUUAUCCAGGCAGAAGUCUUUGCCAUAAGUCAGUGCAUAGAGAUAAACCUACAUCACCACUAUCACAAUGAGCGGAUAACCAUACUUAGCGAUAGUAAAGCGGCACUUAAAGCGAUCUCCUAAUACGGGAUCAAAUCGCUACUAGUGCGGGAGUGUAGACAACGGCUGAACAGCCUAGCAGAACGAACCAGGUGCACCUAAUUUGGGUGCCUGGUACAGCGGUAAGCCAGUGAUGAACUGGCUGAUGAUG
rnacentral:misc_RNA from 1 species